AAAAAUUAUGUUGUUUACAAAAUUAUCCCUAUAUUUAGCAUCUAUUCGAAAAUAAAGAUUAAUCAUAGAUUAAAUAUUUAAUGAUAAUUAGUUUAGAGAAAAAAUAAUCUUUUUUAUCCUUAUAAUUGUAGCCAGGGUAAACUUCAAAUACCACUUUUAUAAUUUUCGCACUUUUUCACUUUAAUACCCCAUAAUUUAAUGUGUAUCACUUUAGUACCCUACAGUUUUAUUUUUAUUUUUUUCUGCCAGUACUUCCGUUAACUCUUCGUUAAAUUAUAUACAAAAAACUUCAGAUAUCCUAUCUAUAGUUUAUUAAAUAUUCACUUUAAUAUUUUGUGGUUUAUCGAAUUUUUACUUUAGUACCAUGUGGUUUUAACUCUUUCACUGAUAUAACGAAAAAAUUAACGAAGAGGAUAACGGAAGGAGAAAAAUGAAACCAUAGAAUACUAAAGUGAUACAUUUUAAAUUAUAUGAUACCAAAAUAAAAAAGUGCAAAACUACGGGGAUAAUAUUUGAAGUUUUUUUAAAAUUUUAGAAGGCCAAAUUUGAAAAGAGGAUUUUUUUUUUAUAGGUAUGAUAUUAUCUUUUUUUUAAUUAAAU
rnacentral:lncRNA from 1 species